CUUUCCAUGGCCGAAUUGGUCAAGGCAUUGCCGCUUGCGAAGAUGCGGGUUCGAGUCCAGCUAGAACGG
rnacentral:tRNA from 1 species